GGUGACCUCCUGGGAAGUCCUCCCGUUGCACCCCUU
rnacentral:rRNA from 1 species